UGAGGAAUCUUGCGCAAUGGGGGAAACCCUGACGCAGCAACGCCGCGUGAGUGAGGAAGGCCUUCGGGUCGUAAAGCUCUGUCAGUUGGAAAGAAAUGCCUGAGAGUCAAUACCUUUCAGGCUUGACGGUACCAACAGAGGAAGCACCGGCUAACUCCGUGCCAGCAGCCGCGGUAAUACGGGGGGUGCAAGCGUUGUUCGGAAUUAUUGGGCGUAAAGAGCGUGUAGGCGGCCGGAUAUGUCAGAUGUGAAAUCCCUGGGCUUAACCCAGGAAGUGCAUUUGAAACUGUCCGGCUUGAGUAGGGGAGAGGGAAGUGGAAUUCCUGGUGUAGAGGUGAAAUUCGUAGAUAUCAGGAGGAACACCGGUGGCGAAGGCGACUUCCUGGCCCUAUACUGACGCUGAGACGCGAGAGCGUGGGUAGCAAACA
rnacentral:rRNA from 1 species